GUAUUUAUAUUCUCAGAGUCAGACUUUACUUAUCUUUUACUAUUCAUGCAUCUUUUUAACCCGGGUUACAUAUAUAUAUAUUUAAAUCCCCCACUCACCCCUGCGGGCAGUCUAUCCUUCAAGCUCGGGUCCUCUACCAGAGGGUCCUGUGCAGUAUCUGAGCUGUUCCUAUCUGAGGAGAGUGAGAGUGCAGAAAGACAUAAAUAUGACAGACACCCAUAAAUGAAGCAGCAUCUGGCAGCAGAUACUAAGAGGAGGAGCCCCCAGCUGAAAUUUCAUUGGCCCUUACAGGCGAAGAAGAUUUGAAUGAUCCUGCAGGGAAAGCUUUUUAACCAGGGACUGUAGAAAACAGUCAUUGUCAAUAUCAUUGUUUUCAACUGACAACUGAUUAGACUCUAUGUUUUGAGGAGUUCGUUCACAAGUCAUAAAUCCCUACUUACCCACAGCUCUCAUGUGGCUGAAGUCUGACAAACAUUAAAUCUUGAGGCCCAGCACCCACGGUACUGCAGGCAAAAGAAGGGCGAUUCUCUUUUAUCGGCUGUAACAAAAGCAAAUUUAAUGUAAUUAAAUUAAAUGUAAUUUAAGUCCCGGUGUGUAAAUUUUAGCUAAAAGCUCAUAUAAACCACUUGUACAACUGCCAAACACAGCAAAAACAUCAAAAGGUUAAGAGAGCAGUUACGUCAUUUUGCUAAAUGUUGGUAAACAAACACAAGUCACUUAUUGAUAAAUAGCUGAAUAAGAAAGAAGAGCAUGUAUAGGUGUAGCUAUUGCAGUAUACAGUGUGUUAAGUGGAUGAGUUGUAAUAAUCCACUUAACAAAGCAUCACUCAAAAGCUGAGAUCUCACAGAUUCCAAAACUGCAAGUUUCAUCCAACUCCGAACAAAAUUCACCGAACCAGCCGUAAAAACAGACCACAAAUAUGUACAGCGUUCCAUGAAAUAUAACGUAAAAUCGAACUUACCGUGUCUGUAUUUUCCAACGUAUAAACGUCCAUUUGGGAAGUUCAAUCCUUUCUGCUGUUCAGUAGCUAAAUUUUUUUUUAAUCUGACAGACGAUGGCAAAAUGUGGCAAAUUGCAAAACACCUGUCUAUAUAUUCGUUAAAAGUGCUGUAAACUUUCACUGUUUUACUCCAGAAGGAUAAGUCGUUUGCUCAGACAAUGUUCAUAUGUCGAUUACUGGUUUUCUGGAGUUAAAUGUCAACCGGAGCAUAUUUUCAAAGUGAUUAUAUGCAGUAAAACCAAAAAAUAGGCAACAAGGAACAUUUGGAGCAAAACAUUUGGCCACAUUUAGGAGUUACAGUCAAGUGUAAUCUGCAUGUACACAAAGAAAUAAAAAGGAAAUACAACUUAGAAUGAACACUGUACAUGCUGUUGGAUGAUGCUGGACUAAUACUUGGCCCCUCUUUGAAUACUGUCGCCCCUUGAUGUCCCCAUACUCAGAAAAAUCCUAGAUCCACUACUGGUUUGUUCACAUGUUGCUGCAUAGUUGAAGGUCUUCAUUAAACCAUUGCAAAAAGGUGCAUAACAUUAAUUUAAAGCAUGUCAAAAUUCUUCUUACUGUCAACAUUUGGUGAAUGUAAGACAGAAAUCAGUCUUUAACACACCGAGACAAGUUUACAUUCACACCUAAAGCCAAGUAAGAACCAGCAUUUAACAAAUUUCACAAUAUUAAUGGUGUUGUGUGUUUUAAAUUGUGCAUGUAAAACUCCAGCAACUACUUCCUCCUGUUGUUUCCUCUGAACACGUCUGUAGAUAAUCUUCACAGUGUUGAUGAUAGUGUCUGUAUAGUCUAUACAGUGUGAGUUGUUCUUCCGCUGUUAAUUGUGAAUGACAAAAAAAGAAACAAAAAACAAGCGGUUGGUGUUUCUCUGUAACAAAUUAAAUGACCACAGAGCUUCUGAAAGCGGCUGAAUCUUCUCAUAAUGAUACACGGGAAAUAAUAGUGUUUCUUUUUUAAACACAAAGUCUAUAUACUGACUGAACUUUUACAUAAAUGCUGUCAUGUUCUCUCUGUGUGUUUCAUUGUAACACAUUGUGUACAAUCUACACAUCAGUGAGAAGAGACAGCAUGAGUUUUAAACAAACAGACAUCAGACUAAACAGGUGCUUUUUUCAAAGGAAAUUAAGUCUACUUCUUACUUCUAAGUGAAAAGAUACAUUAUUAGUUACUAACAAACAGAUGAGACAAGUCUUUUAAUGUAUUUUCAAUAAGAAAUCAAUAGAUGGUCAAAUGAUUUGUAUAUAACAAGAGAAUAGAACUCUUUAAUGACUCUUUCUCCAUUAAAUAGACACAGUGUCAAUGACGUUGUGAGGGUGCUGGGGAGCACCUCCCUCACUAAGUGAUGUACGCACUCACAGUGUCUGAUAAGAAGUUUUGAUUUUGUUAUGCUUUUGUUUUGAAGUCCAUUAACCUCUCUCUCUCUCUCUCUCUCUCUCUCCCUUGAAGUCAACUUCCUGAAGGCCUUAGUCAUGGAGUGCACACAUGAUUAUGGCCUAAUGAUGUUCACCUGAAAGGAGUUUUCCAAUCACCCACUGAUAGUGGGUUGAACCAUCUGAUGAGAGCUGAGGGGGUAGUGGGUUGAAUUUUCAGUUUGAUUUGAUUUAGUUAGUUGGGAUAUUGUUUAGCUGGGGGUGUUUUGUAAUCAGAUAUUUGUGAGGUGUGUCAAAAUCACGUGCUUUUUCUGUAUGACAGAGUGCUGAUGAUAGUGUGUAUAUAGUGUAACAAAGUGUGGGUCUAUGUGGUACUUUGCAGUAAAAUGUGUUUUCUUCUGGUGUUAAUGAUGAAUCACCAGAAACAACAGGGUGUGAUCCAGCUACGGUCUAUUUAUCAGUGAGAGCAGACAACAUCAAUCGUCGAGAAACAGACAUCAGACCAAACAGGCCCAGAGGCUGUGAUCCAGCUACAAUCUACUCAUCAGUGAGAAGAGACAAGAUCACUCAUGGACAAAGAGACAUCAGACCAAACAGGCACAGAGAGUUUCCAUCUGACCAAAAUGGCAUCUACUCAUGAAGUAAUCCACCAGUCCAACCACUGGAAUCCAGCUGCUGGUCCACACAGGCACUCAGACUAGAUUUUUAUAUAUUCUGUUUGAUCUUCUCAUUAAACAUAUUCAUAUAACACAUAUUAUAACUAAUAUUUGAAUGUAAUGUAAUGCAGUGUAUGGAAAACACUCAGUAACUGGCAGGACGGUGCUGCCCUCCCCACAGCAGUGAUCUCUGCAGAUCUCUGUAAGAAACUUUGGUCUCACUUGUUCUUCUUGUGCGGUUCUGUGGGUUUCACAAAUAUUACAUUAGAAAAAUGUGAGUCGUUGUGGCUGAUUAAGAUCUGAAUAAAACCAUAACCACAGAUUAAAAGCAGCAUGAGCAUCACUGGAAACUUUUAAAACUUAAAGAGUUUUAAGAGAUAAAGAGAGAAAUCUCAGUUCAUAUGGUCCAGCCGAGCUUUAAAAGAAAUGAAUGUGUGUUUAUCAAUGUAAAAUCUGCAGUCUUUAUGUGUUUAUGUACAGGGGAGCAGGAGCAGUAAGUUACUGUAAAAGUAUCUUUAAGUCAAUCACAAUGAUGAUAAUAAUAUUAAUAAUAACUUUAUUUAUAAAGCGCUUUCAAGCAAAGUGCUGUACAGCUAUUUGGUAAUAAAAACAUAAAUAAAUAAAAG